UUCAGAUUCUCUCUAAGAAAUUAUUCAUGGUAUUAAAGCAAUUGAAUAAAUAAUGUUUGAUUCUACACUAAUAAAUCAAUUCUGGUGUCACUGAUAACAAUGGAGACGAAUGAUGUACCAACAGUUUCAACUGCAGUAUAAGAAACAAUUGAAGCAAGGAAACCAUCCCUUGUAUCUUCAGCCAUCACAUACACAUGGUAGUGUUUUAACGACUGUUUAGCUCACCAGAGCAGAAAACUAUUCGCUAUGGAGUAGAUUCAUGAUGAUCAAUCUCAGGGCAAAAAGUAAGCUAGGUUUUGUGAUUGGCAUAUGUGAAAGAAAUAGUUACGGACCAGAUCUACAAGAACAAUGGGAGAAAUGUAAUACCUUUGUUUUAGCAUGGAUCAUGAACACAGUUUCAAAGGAAUUGUUGAGUGGUAUUGUUUAUGCUUUAGAUGCUUCAAUGGUGUGGGCAGAUUUGCAAGAAAGAUUUGAUAAGGUUGAUGGAUCGAGUAUCUACCAGUUUCAUCGAGAUAUUUGUACAAUCUAUCAAGGUAAUUCAUUAGUUUCAGCUUAUUUUACCAAAUUGAGAUUGAUGUGGGAUGAAUUUGAUGUUAUCGUACCACCACCAUCAUGGAAUUGUGAUAGAUCUAGAUCUUAUGUGGAUCAUAUUCAAUACUUGCGUUUAUCCUCUUUUCUGAUAGGGCUGAACGACAUGUAUGGACAUGUACGAAGCCAAAUACUAAUGAUGAGUCCUUUUCCAAGUGUUGGCAAAGCCUAUGUUAUGAUCAUAUCAGACAAGAGCCAGAGAGUUAAUUUAGGGAUGCGCACUGGUGGAGAUAUAAUAGAAGCCACGACAUUAUAUGUAGGAAGGGGAAAUUAUUCUAGAAACACAAGAGUUGAGUAUAAUCCUAGAAGCAAUGAUACAGACAAAACUGGAGUAGGAAUUAAGAAAGUGAACUGGAAUCUAUUUUGUGAUCACUGCGAAUGUGGCUGGAAUCUAUUCUGUGAUCACUGCGAAAUGUAUAGCCACACAGAGAAAAAUUGUUUUCGAAUAAUUUGAUAUCCUGAUGAUCGGAAGUUGAAGAAGAAAGUGUCAGGACAGGGUGGAGAGCAAGGGAACAAUAACCAGUUUAGAGGAAGGAAUUUGAGCAAAGGAAAAUAGUUGUUAAUAAUGCGCAAUUGGAUAAGAUUUCUGAAGAAUCAAGAGAUGAUGCAUUUGGGGCAGUCAAUGCAAGACAACCAGGUGCACAAGGAAAUGCUUAUGAUUUCAAUUCUGUUCGUGCUAACUUGCGGGCUUUUGCUGCACGAUCUGACUACAAUCCUAACCAAUACCAAAAGAUAAUGAAAUUGCUCAAUGAAGAGGACAAAACUGACGAAAUGGUGAACAUGACAGGACCUCUCUAAUAGAGAGGUGAAGGGGACUGGUAAGGAGAUAGGAGGUUUGUAUUAUCUUCCAAGUGCAUUUUCUUCUGGACAGUCAGCUAGUGGGGAUAAUAAGGUACUGAUGACAAAGACAAGAGGCACAGAUUGCAUGCUUUGCCACAACAGGAUGGGUCAUCCUUCUAUCAAGGUGUUGAAGCGAUUAACAUUAGUAAAUAAAGAUUUUGAUGUAACAGAAUGUGGUAGUUGUUCAGUAUGUCCUUAGGCAAAAGUCUAGACUUUCUUUCCAUUUGUUGUGUCAAAGUCAAGUGAUGUGUUUGGUCUUAUUCAUCUGGACCAUAUAGAAUUGUUACACAUGAUGAUUUUAGAUUCUUUUUGAAAAUUGUAGAUGAUAAGUCAAGGAUGACUUGGCUAUUUUUACUGAAAUUCAAGAGUGAUGUUUUUGUUGUGAUGAA